rnacentral:rRNA from 1 species
GAUGAACGCUGGCGGCGUGCCUAAUACAUGCAAGUCGAGCGAACAGAUGAGGAGCUUGCUCCUCUGACGUUAGCGGCGGACGGGUGAGUAACACGUGGAUAACCUACCUAUAAGACUGGGAUAACUUCGGGAAACCGGAGCUAAUACCGGAUAAUAUAUUGAACCGCAUGGUUCAAUAGUGAAAGACGGUUUUGCUGGCACUUAUAGAUGGAUCCGCGGCGCAUUAGCUAGUUGGUCAGGUAACGGCUUACCAAGGCAACGAUGCGUAGCCGACCUGAGAGGGUGAUCGGCCACACUGGAACUGAGACACGGUCCAGACUCCUACGGGAGGCAGCAGUAGGGAAUCUUCCGCAAUGGGCGAAAGCCUGACGGAGCAACGCCGCGUGAGUGAUGAAGGUCUUCGGAUCGUAAAACUCUGCUAUUAGGGAAGAACAAAUGUGUAAGUAACUAUGCACGUCUUGACGGUACCUAAUCAGAAAGCCACGGCUAACUACGUG